rnacentral:rRNA from 1 species
AUUGAACGCUGGCGGCAGGCUUAACACAUGCAAGUCGAGCGAGCGGCGGACGGGUGAGUAAUGUCUGGGAAACUGCCUGAUGGAUGGGGAUAACUACUGGAAACGGUAGCUAAUACCGCAUACACUCAGCGGUGCCCAGAUGGGCGUAGCUAGUAGGUGGGGUAAGGGCGCACCUAGGCGACGAUCCCUAGCUGGUCUGAGAGGAUGACCAGCCACAUUGGAACAGAGACACGGUCCAGACUCAGACGGGAGGGAGCAGUGGGGAAUAUUGCACAAUGGUCGAAAGCCUGAUGCAGCCAUGCCGCGUGUAUGAAGAAGGCCUGCGGGUUGUAAAGCACUUUCAGCGAGGAGGCGUUACUCGCAGAAGAAGCACCGGCUAACUCCGUGCCAGCAGCCGGGGUAAUAC